rnacentral:misc_RNA from 1 species
UACGAAAGGGGCUAGCGUUGUUCGGAAUUACUGGGCGUAAAGCGCACGUAGGCGGCCAUGUAAGUUGGGGGUGAAAUCCCGGGGCUCAACUCCGGAACUGCCUUCAAAACUACAUGGCUCGAGGAUGCGAGAGGUUGGCGGAAUUCCGAGUGUAGAGGUGAAAUUCGUAGAUAUUCGGAAGAACACCGGUGGCGAAGGCGGCCAACUGGCGCAUUUCUGACGCUGAGGUGCGAAAGCGUGGGGAGCAAACAGG